rnacentral:rRNA from 1 species
GAUGAACGCUGGCGGCGUGCCUAAUACAUGCAAGUCGAGCGAACAGACGAGGAGCUUGCUCCUCUGACGUUAGCGGCGGACGGGUGUGUAACACGUGGAUAACCUACCUAUAAGACUGGGAUAACUUCGGGAAACCGGAGCUAAUACCGGAUAAUAUAUUGAACCGCAUGGUUCAAUAGUGAAAGACGGUUUUGCUGUCACUUAUAGAUGGAUCCGCGCCGCAUUAGCUAGUUGGUAAGGUAACGGCUUACCAAGGCAACGAUGCGUAGCCGACCGGAGAGGGGGAUCGGCCACACUGGAACUGAGACACGGUCCAGACGCCUACGGGAGGCAGCAGUAGGGAAUCUUCCGCAAUGGGCGAAAGCCUGACGGAGCAACGCCGCGUGAGUGAUGAAGGUCUUCGGAUCGUAAAACUCUGUUAUUAGGGAAGAACAAAUGUGUAAGUAACUAUGCACGUCUUGACGGUACCGAAUCAGAAAGCCACGGCUAACUACGUG